AUUAUAAAUUUAUAAUAUGUUGACUGCAAUGAAUGUACAAUAAAUUUUUAAAGGGAAAUUGCACUUUGUAUACAUAGAAGAUUACAAAAUUAAAUGUCAGAAAAAAUUACUGUUGAACCUUCUCUCUCUAUCAUGAAAAUACUCUUAUACCCUUAUACCAUAUUUGCUCUUACCGUUAAAUAUUUUGUUACCUUUUAAUAAUAAUGUUAUCAUCUUCUCAUAAUUAUACAAUCUUUGAAAUCAAAUCGUUGGUUCAAUAGCUGAUAAUUUGUUUAUAUCGUCAAUUGUAUUAUUAACAUGUUAAGUAGGUUUGUACCCUAAGUUUUUCAUCCGUAUAUCAAAAUUCUAUCCAUAUUUCGCUAACAAUAUUAUCCCGAUAAUACGUUAUCUGCUAACUAUUCUGAUGCAUGUAUUUUUUCUAUAUGAUUAUUCAGUCGCAAGUCAAUUUUUUUGGUUUUCAUGAUAAAUAUUUUGUUAUCUUUUAAUAAUAAUGUUACCGUCUUCGCAUAUAUAUGUGUCUUUGAAAUCUAAAAAUUAGUUCAAUA
rnacentral:sRNA from 1 species